rnacentral:rRNA from 1 species
GGGUUGUGAGGUUAAGCGACUAAGCGUACACGGUGGAUGCCCUGGCAGUCAGAGGCGAUGAAGGACGUGCUAAUCUGCGAAAAGCGUCGGUAAGGUGAUAUGAACCGUUAUAACCGGCGAUGUCCGAAUGGGGAAACCCAGUGCAAUUCGUUGCACUAUCGUUAACUGAAUACAUAGGUUAACGAGGCGAACCGGGGAACUGAAACAUCUAAGUACCCCGAGGAAAAGAAAUCAACCGAGAUUCCCCCAGUAGCGGCGAGCGAACGGGGAGCAGCCCAGAGUCUGAAUCAGCUUGUGUGUUAGUGGAACGGUCUGGAAAGUCCGACGGUACAGGGUGAUAGUCCCGUACACCAAAAUGCACAGGCUGUGAACUCGAAGAGUAGGGCGGGACACGUGGUAUCCUGUCUGAAUAUGGGGGGACCAUCCUCCAAGGCUAAAUACUCCUGACUGACCGAUAGUGAACCAGUACCGUGAGGGAAAGGCGAAAAGAACCCCGGCGAGGGGAGUGAAAAAGAACCUGAAACCGUGUACGUACAAGCAGUGGGAGCACCUUCGGGUGUGACUGCGUACCUUUUGUAUAAUGGGUCAGCGACUUAUAUUCUGUAGCAAGGUUAACCGUAUAGGGGAGCCGCAGGGAAACCGAGUCUUAACUGGGCGUUAAGUUGCAGGGUAUAGACCCGAAACCCGGUGAUCUAGCCAUGGGCAGGUUGAAGGUUGGGUAACACUAACUGGAGGACCGAACCGACUAAUGUUGAAAAAUUAGCGGAUGACUUGUGGCUGGGGGUGAAAGGCCAAUCAAACCGGGAGAUAGCUGGUUCUCCCCGAAAGCUAUUUAGGUAGCGCCUCGUGAACUCAUCUUCGGGGUAGAGCACUGUUUCGGCUAGGGGGUCAUCCCGACUUACCAACCCGAUGCAAACUACGAAUACCGAAGAAUGUUAUCACGGGAGACACACGGCGGGUGCUAACGUCCGUCGUGAAGAGGGAAACAACCCAGACCGCCAGCUAAGGUCCCAAAGUCAUGGUUAAGUGGGAAACGAUGUGGGAAGGCACAGACAGCCAGGAUGUUGGCUUAGAAGCAGCCAUCAUUUAAAGAAAGCGUAAUAGCUCACUGGUCGAGUCGGCCUGCGCGGAAGAUGUAACGGGGCUAAACCAUGCACCGAAGCUGCGGCAGCGACACUAUGUGUUGUUGGGUAGGGGAGCGUUCUGUAAGCCUGCGAAGGUGUGCUGUGAGGCAUGCUGGAGGUAUCAGAAGUGCGAAUGCUGACAUAAGUAACGAUAAAGCGGGUGAAAAGCCCGCUCGCCGGAAGACCAAGGGUUCCUGUCCAACGUUAAUCGGGGCAGGGUGAGUCGACCCCUAAGGCGAGGCCGAAAGGCGUAGUCGAUGGGAAACAGGUUAAUAUUCCUGUACUUGGUGUUACUGCGAAGGGGGACGGAGAAGGCUAUGUUAGCCGGGCGACGGUUGUCCCGGUUUAAGCAUGUAGGCUGAUUGUCCAGGCAAAUCCGGAUAAUCAAGGCUGAGGUGUGAUGACGAGGCACUACGGUGCUGAAGUAACAAAUGCCCUGCUUCCAGGAAAAGCCUCUAAGCAUCAGGUAACAUCAAAUCGUACCCCAAACCGACACAGGUGGUCAGGUAGAGAAUACCAAGGCGCUUGAGAGAACUCGGGUGAAGGAACUAGGCAAAAUGGUGCCGUAACUUCGGGAGAAGGCACGCUGGUGUGUAGGUGAAGUCCCUGCGGAUGGAGCUGAGACCAGUCGAAGAUACCAGCUGGCUGCAACUGUUUAUUAAAAACACAGCACUGUGCAAACACGAAAGUGGACGUAUACGGUGUGACGCCUGCCCGGUGCCGGAAGGUUAAUUGAUGGGGUUAUCCGUAAGGAGAAGCUCUUGAUCGAAGCCCCGGUAAACGGCGGCCGUAACUAUAACGGUCCUAAGGUAGCGAAAUUCCUUGUCGGGUAAGUUCCGACCUGCACGAAUGGCGUAAUGAUGGCCAGGCUGUCUCCACCCGAGACUCAGUGAAAUUGAACUCGCUGUGAAGAUGCAGUGUACCCGCGGCAAGACGGAAAGACCCCGUGAACCUUUACUAUAGCUUGACACUGAACAUUGAGCCUUGAUGUGUAGGAUAGGUGGGAGGCUUUGAAGCGUGGACGCCAGUCUGCGUGGAGCCAACCUUGAAAUACCACCCUUUAAUGUUUGAUGUUCUAACGUUGGCCCCUGACCGGGGUUGCGGACAGUGUCUGGUGGGUAGUUUGACUGGGGCGGUCUCCUCCCAAAGCGUAACGGAGGAGCACGAAGGUUAGCUAAUCCUGGUCGGACAUCAGGAGGUUAGUGCAAUGGCAUAAGCUAGCUUGACUGCGAGCGUGACGGCGCGAGCAGGUGCGAAAGCAGGUCAUAGUGAUCCGGUGGUUCUGAAUGGAAGGGCCAUCGCUCAACGGAUAAAAGGUACUCCGGGGAUAACAGGCUGAUACCGCCCAAGAGUUCAUAUCGACGGCGGUGUUUGGCACCUCGAUGUCGGCUCAUCACAUCCUGGGGCUGAAGUAGGUCCCAAGGGUAUGGCUGUUCGCCAUUUAAAGUGGUACGCGAGCUGGGUUUAGAACGUCGUGAGACAGUUCGGUCCCUAUCUGCCGUGGGCGCUGGAGAAUUGAGGGGGCUGCUCCUAGUACGAGAGGACCGGAGUGGACGCAUCACUGGUGUUCGGGUUGUCAUGCCAAUGGCACUGCCCGGUAGCUAAAUGCGGAAGAGAUAAGUGCUGAAAGCAUCUAAGCACGAAACUUGCCCCGAGAUGAGUUCUCCCUGAGACUUUAAGUCUCCUGAAGGAACGUUAAAGACGAUGACGUUGAUAGGCCGGGUGUGUAAGCGCAGCGAUGCGUUGAGCUAACCGGUACUAAUGAACCGUGAGGCUUAACCUUACAACGCCGAAG